CAUACUCACAGCAUGUGGAAGUUACUGGGCCAGGGAUCGAACCCCCACCACAGCGGCAACCCAAUCUGCUACAGUGAUGCCAGGUUCUUAACCAGCUGUGCCACAAGGGAACUCCCUACACCUACCAUUUUGGAAACUAUAUUUCAACACAGUGCCUAGUGAGAAAAACAACAUUUUCUGGGCAAGAAGGUACCAAUCAAUGCUAGUCCUUCAUAAAAGCAGAAAGUCACCUUGGAGCUGAUCUUCUAAAACUAAUCAUACAGAUGAAUGGCCUUUCUUGGUUGAACACAUGUAAAGUAUGAAGUCACCCAUACCCCUGGAGGAAAGGUAGAAUGAGACUCCCUAUAGCUUGUCAAAGACUGUCCUUCAUGCUCCCUAGUAGACAGAACUGGAUACUAAGGUAGAAGGUAACUUUACGCAAAGAUCAAGGAGUCUUCUAGGGGAAAGGGAUUAAAAUAUGAAUCUCAUCAUCAAUCACGUUACACUUCCCUGAUGAGUUUCUGGCUGAGUUUUACUGGUAGAAAAGGAAAGUGAGGGUUCUCCAAAAGAGCAUUCCAUGAAGAGGCGAGGAGUCUAGACUGCGGACGUAGAAGCUCACUGGUGGAAAGGUAGCUGCCACAGAGCAGCAUGACUUUGCACUUUGGGAAUGAUGGAGGAGCAUAUAAAGUGUAAAUUAAAGUGUGACUAGCCAUGAAGACCUGAGAAGGAAGUGGAUGGGGAGAGACUAAAGGGGCAGCAUCAGCUUUCAGCAGCCUAAAAUUAAGAGCCAGCUAGAACCAGAACCCACUGAUGGACUGGUAAGAAUUUCCAGUUCACUCCUUGCCCCGUAUUUGGAAGCACAAGUCACCUCUUGAGACUGAGUCAAUAUCUAGGGGUCUUGAAUAAUUCAGACGAAAACCACAAGAAGCAGAAAAUGGACUGCUGCUAAUACAAACAGAUGAAAGGGAUUUCAUGCUAAUUGACAAAAUAAAAUAAAAGGGAUAUGACUACUGGUGCCAGAACAAAAAAGACACCACUCCAAAUCAUCAUCAUAGUUCACAUAUGAGAUAGGCAGGGCAUUUCCAAAUGUCGAAAGAAGAACCGGUUAGUUGUAAGGGAUGGAGGAAGCCUCUCAUCUGGAACAGGUAGCCUCUCCCUACCAAAGCCCAAAGUGGGCAGUAUGACUUAGAGGCAGCCAUAUGGAGAACACAAGGCAGUUAUAGAGACAUUUUCAACGCUGACAAGAAAUCUGCUCAUGGAACAAGAUCAGCAAACAAGGACUAAUUAGUAAGUGUAACACUGGCUCCUUAAUUAAAAUCUCCCUUUAGAUCCAAUCUAUUCCAUAGAAUGACAUUUAAUAAUAUUGAAUUAUUGUUAUGAAUGAGUUUGCCCAAAUGUUUUCAUCUCUGAUUAAGAUAAGCAUUGCCCACAGAGAAACAACCUUCCCAGGGUAAAUCACCUAUGGCCCCCGCUUUAGCAAAUCUCUUUAUUCUGGAGCUCAUCUCCUGUGAGUACAGCCUACCACAGAGUUCUCUGAGAACAUUCUUUUCAAAAAGCUACCAAGCAAGACUUGGUGUCCAGCACUAUUACCACUCAUUUCAACAGUAUGAAUACACACAUAUACAGGUGACCCUUGAACAAUGCAGGGGUUUAGGGGUGCUGACCUUCCUCCCUGUUGAAAAUCCUGGUACAACUUUACAGUUGGCCCUCGAUAACCACAGAUGAAAAAGAAAAAUAUCUUUAUUGUACCUUUAAGAUAAGACUACUAUUUCCCCAUGCAUCUUUUGAAACCAUGAUGGCCAACCUGUCCUUGCUUCCAUUAAAACAUUUAGUUGAGGGCGUAAAAGGGCAAAGGAGGGGGGAAAGCAAUGACAAAGCUUUGGGUUUUAAGGAUUUCCUUCUCCUGGAAUCAACUGCUUUUGAAAAACAAUACUAAUGGCCAGAUUUUAGUAUCUAUACCUGUAUUUCACUUCACUUCUACUGUUGUUCAUGGUGGGUCACUUUCCAGAGGAACCACAGGUCCUCUGGGACAACAGACAAGUUUGCCACUCCCAGUAUGGGCCCAAGGAUGUUCCAUGUUUGGAUUUUGGAUUUUCAAGACUGGGCAGGCUCUGUUCAUUUGGCCUAAAUGUGGCAUCAAAGUUAUCUUUCUUUUGCUGGGAUUAUAGUUAGUUGUGAAAGUGCCUAGUUAAUGAGAUCUUGAGGAUCAGAGUCUAUGUUGUAGUAAUCAUUAUAACCCAAUAUUAAACAUCUGUGGAACUGAAACUGGACUAUUACCACGAUCUUCUAACUAAGUCUUCAGUUACAAAACCUAACCCAAAUGGCUUAUGCAAAGAGGCAAUUUGUUGGUUCAUAAAAUUGAUAAGUCUGGUAACAGUGUUAGCUUCAGGCAUGGCUGCAUUCAGCAGCUCAAAGGAGUCAUCAGAACGUGAUCUCUGGCUUAGUUCUUUUGCUCUGUGUUUUGGGCAUUACUCUUAGGCAAGGUCUAACCUUCUGAAUGCAAGACAGCGCCUACACCUUUAGUUUCCUUCCCUCCCAGAUUCAAGUAUAGCAAAAUAUAGGGGGCCUGUUUUCUAGCAUUACAUGAAAAUCCCUGAGACUUAUUCUGAUUGGAUGGGAUGAAUUAGUAGGAUGAAUGUUCAUCCCUGAAUUAUUCAUAUAACCAGAGAUGAGCAUGUUCACUACUGGAGCCAGAUCAAUGCCCAGCCCAGAGAUGUCGGAUUGUCUAUCAGCAACUUAGCACUAUUUCCCCAUUUUAACACUUAAAAAGCACUUACCAUGGGCCAGACACAGUGUUAAUUCUUAAUAUCCAACAAACUCAGCUAAUCCUUACAAAACCCCAGGUGGUAGGGGUUGUCACUAGCUCCAACCUGCACAUGAGGACCUGAGGCUUGGGAAGGGGGCAUUCUUAUUGCAAUGUCUGGUGACAUGUGGUGAGGCCACCACUCAAAUCCAGGCCCAUAACUCCUGCUUAUGAGAAUUUCCCUCUUCCCUGAAGGGCCUUGUAGAACUCACAUUCUACUGUGACUAUGAAAAAAUAAAUAGAUGAGGUAGUAAGUUUUUCCAGGUAUUUUGCCCAGAAAGACUGGUGAGAGGCCCUCAGGCUUUCAGGCUGAGAAGCACCUGCCACUCCUGCCUCCCCAUCGCUAAGGAAUUUCCCCUUUCAUGACUUUUCAAUCUGCUUUGCAUCUCCAAGCCUCAGUAUCCUCUUCACCUGGGCCUCUUCUUCCAGCCCAACGUCCUGGCAUUUGAUAAUACUUGCUUCAGAUAACCUCACGUGUGUGCCUGACCCCUGAGUCUGUUAUGUAAAAAUGUAGGGAAGAGCAGUUUGUUAUGAACUAUUUAACAGACAGCAUAUCCGAGCUAAACGCUCCCACGUCAAGUUGCUGUUUUGAGACUUGAUCAAAGAUUUAUUACAAACGAACGUGAUUAUCAUGUCAGAUGCUUGGUGGAAUCUUCUUGGAUUUAAAACUCCAAAGCAAGUUCUAAGAAUGGAUCAGCACGGCAUUCAGUCUGUCAGUUUCACUGCUGUACGGUUAUUGCUGAUUCAUGGCUUUUAUAUGAAUGAUAUCAUUGAGUGCUGUUAAUGCAAUCCAGUGUUAGUCCUACCCAGUGCUAUGGAGACUAUGUGACUCCCCAAAUGCACUUGACACUUUGGCCUGUACACAUGACUUCCCCAUGAGAAACAUACUUCCCAGUUCCCAGCCUGCUUUUGGUGCACUAGAGUGCAAGCAGAAGUGGCAUGUGAUAUGACAUGACAUUCACAUCACUUUCUUAAAAAGGAUCCUUUGUCCUGGAUUUAUUUUCUUUACCCCUCCUGUGAACUGGAACACCAGCGUGGUGCCUGCAGCCCAGGGAUGAGGGCGAGUUACUCACUAACUGGGAGAGCUGCCUUUGGGACAUCUGUAUGGUCUCCUAAGAGAGAAAAAAUAAACCCCUGUUUUCUUGAAGCCACUUUAAAUUAGAUCCUCUUUGUUUAGAGAUUAAUUUAAGCAUCACCCUAACUAGUAAUAAUAUACAUGGACUUCAAACAAAUCAAAGAAUUGUGCUCCCUGAAGUUAAAACCCAGUAUAAUCCCGUAUUACAUACAGCUAAUCCUCAUUGUUCACAGACUGCUACCUGCAAAUUUACUGAUUCACUGAAAUGCAUUUGUAACCCCCAAAUCACCUCUCGUGGCCCUUUCACAGUCACUGGCGACCAUACACAGAGCAGAAGACACUUUGAGUUUCCCAACCUGCACAUUCCCCAUGGAGAGUAAACAAAGCUACCCAGGGCCUUCUUGUUCCUGCUCUCACACCACACACAAGUGGCCUUUUCGUGGUAUAUUUUAGUGCCACAUUUUUCACAUUUUUGUACUUUCGUCAUUUUGGAUGUCACAUUUUUCACACCUUUGUGUUUCCACUGUUUAAAUCGGCCUCCAGGCCUAGUGCUAAGUGUUUCCAAGCACAAUUGGUUGUGAUGUGUGCCUUUCAGAGAAAAUGCAUGUGUUAGAUAAGCUUCUUUCAGGCCUGAGUUAUAAGGCUGUUGGCCAUAAGUUCAAUUUAAAUGACUCAACAAUGCAUAUUAAAGAAAGUGCCUUGAAACACACAUAAAACAAAGUUACAUAUGAUUAGGUGAUGAGAAUGUUGUAACCAGAGGCUGGCAUGAAAUGAACCCUCUAUUUCCCCUAAAAGUAAUGGUUCACUACUCACUUAGUGUUCGUGGCCACUUUAUAGUAACUAACCAAUGUGAAAAAUGAGAAUUGACUGGGUUUACUAGACUUACCCCCUAUAUUGGUAUUAUCACAUGGUCCCAUUCAAAGUGACACUUGCACACUUUGUGGGGAAAAAAAAAACAAAAAAACCCACCAGCUUUAUAGCUACAUCUAAGGAUGGGGGAGGGAUAAGUACAUAAAAGCUUAUUCGCCUGCCUUAUAGACUUUUAGGGGCAAUAAGACUGAGACUGGAACUCAGUACAGCCAUUCUACCGUGUCCAACAUACUCAUGGUGGAGAAAAGGAAUCAAGAAGGAACAGCAGGAGGCAUCUAGCUCAAUUUCCUCCUAACUCUGAUGGGAAAGCAAAGCCCAGAGGCUAAGAAUCAGCCUCCUUGUGGUUUCCUAAUGCAGAGCCCAAACCCAGGUCUCCCAGCUCCCAAACCAGGUCUGCACAAGCUUGCUGGGUGUGGUCACAGGAACAGAAUUGGUUCUUCUGGAAAUGAAAGGAAGUGGAUGAACCAAGCACUGGGAAGACAGAAAGCUGGGUGGAGAGUCAGGAUCACCCGUGUCUAGGGUCUUAUGUCCCUUUGGACAAACAGGAGACUUCUAACCUUUUGUUUAAAACCAGCAGAGUCCUGAUUACACAAGAUAGGGCAUGACUGCUGUGUCCCUAAACUUAUCCAUUCCCCCAGCAGAUGAGCUUAAUCCUCUUAAGAGAAAGAGCUCUGUGUUUUGUUUUGUUCUCUUUUUGCCUUUUCUAGGGCCGUUCCUGCGGCAUAUGGAGGUUCCCAGGCUAGGGGUCUAAUCAAAGCUGUAGCCACCAGCCUAUACCAGAGCCACGGCAACUUGGGAUCCAAGCCGAAUCUGCGGCCUACACCACAGAUCAUGGCAACGCCAGAUCCUUAACCCACUGAGCAAGGGCAGGGAUAGAACCUGCAACCUCAUGGUUCCUAGUCGGAUUCGUUAACCACUGCGCCACGACGGGAACUCCAAGAGCUCUGUGUUUUUAAUGGAAUUAGAUGCCUGACCCUGAACUAUGCUUGCCACCAGGUUUCAAUCAUAUGGUUCUGGCAUUCUGAACUGGCCUAGUUUUAGGGACCCAAACCUAUUCCUCCAAUUGAAUCAUUUGCUCCAUCACCAUUAAGUACUUAUCACAUCUAAGUAAUAAUUUCCUGAAUUGAGAAUAUACCGUGGUCUUUUUUUUAACUUCUGAAGCACAGUUGUUUGAUAAAUAGAUUUUCCCCACUAUCCCUCUGUCAGGACAUUUGAGGACCAAAUUCCAUAGAGAGAAGUAGUAGUGUAUCCCUGACCAUCAAAGAGGAAUGAGCUGUGAUGGGUGGAUGGAUCAGGGGGCUCUCAGAAGGUAAGUUUCUAGAGGACAAGAACCUGAACCAUGAGCAUGGACUACACACAGCUAACACGGUGAG
rnacentral:lncRNA from 1 species